GACGAACGCUGGCGGCGUGCUUAACACAUGCAAGUCGAGCGGUAAGGCCCUUUCGGGGGUACACGAGCGGCGAACGGGUGAGUAACACGUGGGUGACCUGCCUUUAGCUCUGGGAUAAGCCUGGGAAACCGGGUCUAAUACCGGAUAUGACUCCGCGGCGCAUGUUGUGGGGUGGAAAGCCUUGUGCGGCUGGAGAUGGGGCCCGCGGCCGUAUCAGCUUGUUGGGUGGGGUGGAUGGCCGUACCAAGGCGGACGACGGGUAGGCCGGCCGUCGAGAGGGCGGACCGGCCGACCACUGGGACGUGAGACACGGCCCAGACUCCUACGGGAGGGCAGCAGUGGGGGAAGUCUUGCGCAAUAGGGCGGAAAGCCUGACGCAGCGACGCCGCGUGAGGGAUGACGGCCUC
rnacentral:rRNA from 1 species